GACGAACGCUGGCGGCGUGCUUAACACAUGCAAGUCGAACGAUGAAGGAGAGCUUGCUCUCCGGAUUAGUGGCGAACGGGUGAGUAACACGUGACUAACCUGCCCCUUUCUCUGGGAUAACGCUCCGAAAGGAGUGCUAAUACCGGAUACGAACUCUGAACACAUGUUCGGAGUUGGAAAGUUUUUCGGAAAGGGAUGGAGUCGCGGCCUAUCAGCUUGUUGGUGAGGUAACGGCUCACCAAGGCGACGACGGGUAGCCGGCCUGGGAGGGCGACCGGCCACACUGGGACUGAGACACGGCCCAGACUCCUACGGGAGGCAGCAGUGGGGAAUAUUGCACAAUGGGCGAAAGCCUGAUGCAGCGACGCCGCGUGAGGGGUGAAGGUCUUCGGAUUGUAAACCUCUUUCAGUAGGGACGAAGCGAAAGUGACGGUACCUAAAGAAGAAGCACCGGCUAACUACGUGCCAGCCGCCGCGGUAA
rnacentral:rRNA from 1 species